rnacentral:rRNA from 1 species
UACGGAGGGAGCUAGCGUUGUUCGGAAUUACUGGGCGUAAAGCGCACGUAGGCGGCUUUGUAAGUUAGAGGUGAAAGCCCGGGGCUCAACCCCGGAAUAGCCUUUAAGACUGCAUCGCUUGAACACGGGAGAGGUGAGUGGAAUUCCGAGUGUAGAGGUGAAAUUCGUAGAUAUUCGGAGGAACACCAGUGGCGAAGGCGGCUCACUGGCUCGAUACUGACGCUGAGGUGCGAAAGCGUGGGGAGCAAACAGG